rnacentral:rRNA from 1 species
AGAGUUUGAUCAUGGCUCAGAGUGAACGCUGGCGGCAUGCCUAACACAUGCAAGUCGAACGGGUCCUAUCAGUUCACCGGUAGGGCGAGUGGCAGACGGGUGAGUAAUACGUGGGCAAUUUGCCUUCGAGAAGGGGACAACCUUGGGAAACCAAGGCUAAUACCGCAUGAGACCACGGUCCGGCAUCGGACUGGGGCCAAAGCUCCGCAAGGGGCGCUCGAAGAGAAGCCCACGGCCUAUCAGCUAGUUGGCGGGGUAACGGCCCACCAAGGCUACGACGGGUAAGCGGUCUGAAAGGACGACCGCUCACAAUGGCACUGAGACACGGGCCAUACUCCUACGGGAGGCAGCAGUGGGGAAUUUUGCGCAAUGGGGGAAACCCUGACGCAGCGAUGCCGCGUGGAGGACGAAGGUCUUCGGAUUGUAAACUCCUUUUGCGGGGGAAAAAUGGCGGCGUGAAGAACGCCGUUCGAUGGUACUCCGCGAAUAG